UCAGUGACAGACGCCAGCAGAGACAAGGGGGCGCCAGGGACAAAGAUCUGAGACCCGCGUUGGAGAAUCGGGGGGAAGGGGUCAAUGUGGGAUUGUUGGUAUUUGAUAGUCAGAGCGACGGGGGGAUCUCAGGGCAGGUUCAGUCAGUGACAGAUGCCAGCAGAGACAAGGGGGCGCCAGGGGAACAGAUCUGAGACCCGCGUUGGAGAAUCGGGGGGAAGGGGUCAAUGUGGGAUUGUUGGUAUUUGAUAGUCAGAGCGACGGGGGGAUAGCGGGGCAGGUUCAGUCAGUGACAGACGCCAGCAGAGACAAGGGGGCACCAGGGGCACAGAUCAGAGACCCGCGUUGGAGAAUCGGGGGGAAGGGGUCAAUGUGGGAUUGUUGGUAUUUGAUAGUCAGAGCGACGGGGGGAUCUCGGGGCAGGUUCAGUCAGUGACAGACGCCAGCAGAGACAAGGGGGCGCCAGGGGCACAGAUCUCAGACCCGCGUUGGAGAAUCGGGGGAAGGGGUCAAUGUGGGAUUGUUGGUAUUUGAUAGUCAGAGCGACGGGGGGAUCGCGGGGCAGGUUCAGUCAGUGACAGACGCCAGCAGAGACAAGGGGGCGCCAGGGGCACAGAUCUCAGACCCGCGUUGGAGAAUCGGGGGAAGGGGUCAAUGUGGGAUUGUUGGUAUUUGAUAGUCAGAGCGACGGGGGGAUCGCGGGGCAGGUUCAGUCAGUGACAGACGCCAGCAGAGACAAGGGGGCGCCAGGGGCACAGAUCUCAGACCCGCGUUGGAGAAUCGGGGGGAAGGGGUCAAUGUGGGAUUGUUGGUAUUUGAUAGUUAGAGCGACGGGGG